rnacentral:rRNA from 1 species
UUAAGGUUCGUUUGUUCACGAUUAAAGUCCUACGUGAUCUGAGUUCAGACCGGAGCAAUCCAGGUCAGUUUCUAUCUAUAAAAAAUUUUUUCUAGUACGAAAGGACCGAAAAAAUAGAGCCCAUUACCAAACAAUGCUCUCACACAGUUGAAAACAAAUAAAACACGCACACACAAACACAUCCUAGAACAGGAUAAA